UUUUUUUCUUUCUUUUUCUUUUUUUUUUUUCUCUCUAAAAACCAGUCAAGCAGAGCCAGAAGCAGCAGUCAGACGACAACUUCUGGGCAGAACCUAAGAUGGAAAAAGCAAAUGCUGUUUAUAUAAAUAGAGGUGCAGAACCGUAACUUCCUGUUGACAAAAUAAGCUUCACUUCACCUCAAACCCUCAAUUUCUUUUUUAAAUAGUUGAUAAAGCCUUUUUUUUUUUUUUUUGUCCUUUCAAUUUGUCCGAUCACUUUCAGCAAGGUUCUGGUUUUUUCCUAAGCCAGGGGUCCUGCAUUUUUGGUCUCUAUCUCUGGUAUUUUUCUUUCCUCUCCCUUUUCCUUUCUUCUGUGGGAUUACCUCGUCAUAUAUUUGUACUGUGUAGCUUUAUGGGGUACAUUAUUAAAUUUACAUAAUAAGCCAUGAGGAUUGAGUUCAGGAUGAUCUCCUAAAUUUGUAUGAGAUUCACCUCCUCUCCUAACUCCCUCCCCCCCAAAAAAUAAGGAACAGAUGAGCUUUGAGCAAAUAUAAGGAACUGUUUAAUGGAAAAUAACAAGGAUGAUACUUAAGGGAUUGAUGGGCAUUGAGAUAUCAACUGUGUCAUUAGAUACUAUUUCCUAACAUGGUGUUCUGUUCCUAAAGGUCAAGCACAAGGAGUUACAAUGAAGAAUAAUGAGGACUGCACAGAAAAACACUUCUUCCAUUUGUAUAAAAUUACAUCUAUCUAUCUAUCCGUUCAUUCCUGAAAAUUGCUGAAAGUUUGGGAGGAAGAGAAAGUUUUGGGUUUUGUUUUGUUUGUUUUUUUUGUUUUUUCGAUUUUGUUUAAGAAAUCUCUACACCCAACACGGGGCUGAAACUCACAACCCCGAGAUCAAGAGGUGUAAAUUCCAGGGACUGAGCCAGCCAAGUGUCCCCCAAAAAGUACUACUAAUACAAAGAAGCUUAUGAAAAUGUGUAAUGUUGACCUCAAAUACAACACGUGUUGAAAACAAAAAUUGCUUCAAAAAUGUUCACAUAAAAUCAGGAAUGGCAGCUCCUGAACUGGUUUUUCAGAGAAACUAGUUUGCUGGAAGGUAAUCUAUAACUUGAUGAUGUUAAACUAUGUUCUUAUGUUGCCAGUAUCUCACAGAAACGGGGAUGGAAAGAUCUGGCACAGGGUAAUAAGUGGUAAAGUACAAUAUUUCAUAAAAUAAAUUAUGACUUGAAUUUGUAAGUACAAUUCCUUAGAAUCAUAAUAGGUUCUGAUGACAGGGGGCAGGAAUAAUUUCUCUCUUGCCACACACCGACUGAAAAAUAUAUCAUGGAGCACGUAGGUGGCUCAGUCGUUUGAGCAUCUGGCUUCAGUUUAGGUCAUGAUCUCAUUCAUGGUUUGUGGGUUCAAGCCCCGCAUGGGGCUCUGUGCGGACAGCUCAGAGCCUAGAGCCUGCUUUAGAUUCUCUGUCUCCCUCUCUCUCUACCCCUCCCCCGCUCACACGGUCUCUCUCUCUCUCUCUCCCUCUCAAAAAUAAACAUUAGAGGCGCCCGGGUGGCUCAGUCGGUUAAGCGUCCGACUUCGGCUCAGGUCAUGAUCUCACGGUCUGUGAGUUCGAGCCCCGCGUCGGGCUCUGUGCUGACGGCUCAGAGCCUGGAGCCUGUUUCAGAUUCUGUGUCUCCCUCUCUCUCUGACCCUCCCCUGUUCAUGUUCUGUCUCUGUCUCAAAAAUAAAUAAACAUUAAAAAAAAUUAAAAAAAUAAACAAACAUUAAAAAAAUAUAUAUAUCAUCUAUGCAUGGGGCAUCUACACUCAAAUCAACAUGGUUCUAGGUAUAAUAAUAUAUACUUAUAUAUUCUUGUUCAUUUUCUUUUCUUAAGGUUUACUUAUUUCUUUGGAGAGAGAGAGCAUGCGCACACAGGGGAAAAGCAGAGAGAGAGGGAGAGAGAAUCCCAAGCAGGCUUCAUGAUGUUAGUGCCACCAGGGGCAGAUCUCACCAACCAUUGAGAUCAUGACCUGAGUGGGAACCAAGAUUCAGGAGCUCAACCAACUGAGCCGCCCAGGAGCCCCCAUCUUGUUCCUUUUAACAUAAAAGAAUCCGUGUUUGUUUCAGGGCCAGUUCUGAUGUAGCAUUCACUAUGUGUGUGUUUCUGAGUGAAUGGCUUCUCUACUGUAAAUUUAUGGGAGUACAUCUACCUUAUGGGAGUACAUCCUAUAGGAGUGGUUCUGAGAAUUAACAAGGUCAUGUAUUCAAAAUGUUUAGCACCUGUAAUAUUACAUAUUUAAGAAAACAAUACGAUUUUUUUCCGCUUAAAUGCACUGCUGUCUUCCUAACUGUUCUUGACCAGGGUGACUCUUCUGUUCUUUUCCUUGUAACAUAAUGAGAUAACCCAUGCUGACUCACCACGGAGCAGGAGGGUGGGGAAGCCUGCAAAGGGUGUUUAAUGUCACCAAUGCCAGUUUCUCUACAGUUCACGGUUUCUAACUUAAAAUUUUUUCAGCAUCCAAAAUCUUCUUUUAUUUUUUUUUAACGUUUAUUUAUUUUUGAGACAGAGAGAGACAGAGCAUGAACGGGGGAGGGGCAGAGAGAGAGGAAGACACAGAAUCAGAAGCAGGCUCCAGGCUCUGAGCUGUCAGCACAGAGCCCGAUGCGGGGCUCCAACUCACGAACCGCGAGAUCAUGACCUGAGCUGAAGUCGGACGCUCAACCGACUGAGCCACCCAGGCACCCCACCAAAAUCUUCUUUAAUAAGUCCGUGGGAUCUGGGGUUAGUUUUUGUAUCCCCUGGCAGGCCCCUCCGUCUCUGGCACAUUCCGCCCUUGGAAUGCACUUUGGGUUUGGUGUGGCUGUGUUGGGUUGGGGAGACCUUGCCUAAAUGCCCGUACACCUCUUGGCCCUUUCCAGGGCGGCGCCACAGCCCUUGGGGGAGUCCGGGGCCAACUGGUCGAAGCUGAGGAUCUUGCCCCGGCCUUGAGGACAGGGCCUCAGGGGCAGCUGUGCACGCGCACUACCUUGGGGACAUGCACGUCAUCCGUUAUUGUCCCUACAACCACAGCUGUUUUGUCAUCUCGGCCAGGAAGGUUCAAUUUCCAAUGGUCUGGGAAGGACUGAGGUGACUGGUUGGUGCGACACAAACCUGUUCAUUACAACUCUGUUGAAGGU
rnacentral:lncRNA from 1 species